rnacentral:rRNA from 1 species
GAUGAACGCUAGCGAUAGGCUUAACACACGCAAGUCGAGGGGCAGCACAAGGUAGCUUGCUAUCUGGGUGGCGACCGGCGCACGGGUGCGUAACGCGUAUGCAACUUGCCCUAUACAGGAGGAUAACCCGUCGAAAGACGGACUAAUACUGCGUAUGCUCACAACUUGGCAUCAAGUGGUGAGGAAAGAAAUUCGGUAUAGGAUAGGCAUGCGUCCCAUUAGCUUGUUGGUGAGGUAACGGCUCACCAAGGCAACGAUGGGUAGGGGAACUGAGAGGUUUAUCCCCCACACUGGUACUGAGACACGGACCAGACUCCUACGGGAGGCAGCAGUGAGGAAUAUUGGUCAAUGGGCGCGAGCCUGAACCAGCCAAGUCGCGUGAAGGAUGACUGUCUUAUGGAUUGUAAACUUCUUUUAUACGGGAAUAACAAGAGUCACGUGUGACUCCCUGCAUGUACCGUAUGAAUAAGCAGCGGCUAACUCCGUG